rnacentral:rRNA from 1 species
GUCCACGCCGUAAACGAUGGGUACUAGGUGUAGGGGUAUCGACUCCCUCUGUGCCGCAGUUAACACAAUAAGUACCCCGCCUGGGGAGUACGGUCGCAAGAUUAAAACUCAAAGGAAUUGACGGGGCCCGCACAAGCAGCGGAGCAUGUGGUUUAAUUCGAAGCAACGCGAAGAACCUUACCUAGACUUGACAUCUCCUGAAUACUCUAGAGAUAGAGGAAGCCCUUCGGGGCAGGAAGACAGGUGGUGCAUGGUUGUCGU